GUACCCUCAAGCUCUGCUUGGUGUUGGGUGUUUGUCCACCAUCGUGGACUCGCCUUAAAGUCAUUGGCAGCCAGUGUUUUGGUAUUGAAGCGCAGCACAUUUUGCGCCUCUAGCCUAGAAUACUAGCGUCCAGUAAGUCUUUUUCCACUU
rnacentral:misc_RNA from 1 species